CAACCGCAGUCGAGAAGCGGCUGCAGAUACACCCCUCCGAAAGACCUCUGGGACACCUGGUGAUACGACGAGUACCUCGACGCCUGAUCGGAGGUGCUCGUUUCCCCGGCCUCGCUCAACAUGGCCAAAUGUACCAUCGACUGCAUGCAGCUCUCGGACAUGAUCAGAUCACGUCUGGGCACCGCGCGUGUAGCAUACGUACCAAUAACAUUCGUGACGAAACCUGAUCCUACCCCUUUUGAAGCACAAAAUGCAGAGGAAGCAGUAUGGGAAAAGGCAUGUUCUUUCUAUCGAUUUUGGUACAAAUACCGUUUGAGUGUUUCUCCACAUGCUCUC
rnacentral:lncRNA from 1 species